GACGAACGCUGGCGGCGUGCUUAACACAUGCCAGUCGAACGGUGAAGCUCCAGCUUGCUGGAGUGGAUCAGUGGCGAACGGGUGAGUAACACGUGAGCAACCUGCCCCUGACUCUGGAAUAAGCGCUGGAAACGGCGUCUAAUACUGGAUACGAGAAGGGUCCGCAUGGGCAGUUUCUGGAAAGUUUUUCGGUUGGGGAUGGGCUCGCGGCCUAUCAGCUUGUUAGUGGGGUAGUGGCUCACCAAGGCGACGACGGGUAGCCGGCCUGAGAGGGUGACCGGCAACAUUGGGACUGAGAUACGGCCCAGACUCCUACGGGAGGCAGCAGUGGGGAAUAUUGCACAAUGGGCGGAAGCCUGAUGCAGCAACGCCGCGUGAGGGAUGACGGCCUUCGGGUUGUAAACCGCUUUCGCCUGGGACGAAGCGAGAGUGACGGUAAUGGGUAAAGAAGCACCGGCUAACUACGUG
rnacentral:rRNA from 1 species